UCGGCUCCGCAGCUCCAAUAUGGCGGCGCCCUGUGGCUCCUCGCAGCUCCCGGCCGCCGAGUCGCCGCUGAAGAUCCCCAAGAUGGAGGUCCUGUCGCCGGGCUCGCCGGGGGCGCUCAGCGACGGCAACCCCAGCCUCUCCGACCCCUCCACGCCCAGCGGCGCCUCCCCGCUGGGGCCGGGCGGCCCGGGCUCUGCCGCCGCCGCGGGGGCCGGGGCGGGGGGCGGCGGCGCGGGGGGCCGCGGCGGGGCAUCGCCCUCCGUCUCCUUCUCGCCCGGCGGCGCCGCGGCGGCCGCGGCCGCGGCCGCUUGCCGGGGCAUGUCGUGGACGCCGGCCGAGACCAACGCGCUGAUCGCGGUGUGGGGCAACGAGCGGCUGGUGGAGGCGCGGUACCAGCAGCUGGAGGGCGCCGGCACCGUCUUCGGCAGCAAGGCCCCCGGGCCCGCCAUGUACGAGCGCGUCUCCCGGGCCCUGGCCGAGCUGGGCUACGAGCGGACCCCGUCCCAGUGCCGCGAGCGCAUCAAGCAGCUUCCCAAGAGACAGAGUGAGUUAGUAAGGAAUGCAAAAUAUACCCUUCGCAGGUGUUACAGUCGAGUGAAAGAACAUGGUGUUGGGAAAAGGAAAAGCAGUUACACCUUUGAACAAUUGGAACAGGUGUUUGGUCAGGGAGGAUGGGACUCGCAGCCCUGCCAGCCUGUACUCAUUAAUAGCAGCGGCUUGUACCAGGAGCUGGAAUCGGAUGGCAGCACUAUGGAGGAAUAUUCACAGGAGGAUUGGGGGAACCACAGUCAGGAUCUUCACUGCUACCAAGGAGGAGACCCAGAGUUGGAUGAAAUGCCUGCCACAAAGAGAACAUUAAAGAUAAAGCAGGAAUCUUCAGAAGAAGCACAGAAGCAAGACGUCAUGCAGAACAUUGUGCAAAUCUUGGAAUCCGUCCAGUUAAAAUGGGAGCUGUUUCAGAGCUGGACAGAUUUCUCCAGGCUACAUCUUUCUAACAAACUAGCCAUUUUUGGCAUUGGUUAUAACACACGCUGGAAGGAGGAUAUUCGCUAUCACUACGCUGAGAUCAGUUCCCAGGUGCCUCUUGGCAAACGGCUUAGGGAAUAUUUCAAUUCAGAGAAGCCAGAGGGCAGGAUCAUCAUGACACGAGUACAGAAAAUGAACUGGAAAAACGUUUACUAUAAAUUCCUAGAGAUUACUAUUAGCGAAGCAAGAUGCCUGGAGCUGCAUAUGGAAGUUGACUGGAUUCCUAUAGCUCAUUCUAAACCAACGGGAAGAAAUGUUGUUCAGUAUUUAUUACCAGGGGGGAUUCCCAAAAGCCCUGGCCUGUAUGCCAUUGGUUAUGAAGAUUGCCAGGAGAAACCCCACUCGCCUCAUGCAGACCGCCGAGGCACAGAUCCUGGGAAGGAGACUCAGGGGGAGGUAGAUGUCCCUUCACCGCAGGCCUCUCUCAGGGUGGAGAUGGAGUCCGCCAGAAUUAUCUAUUGUUACCUUGGCAUUGCUGAGGUUAGAACUCUCCAGCAAUGCUUGUUUUUACAUUUUCAGGCCAACACCAAAACCUUCAGCAAAGAGUGGGUUGGAAUCAAUGGGUUUUUAUCUCAGAACUGCAUCGUAGAACCAGGGGUAUCGCCUAAAUCCAUCUACAUCAAAUUUGUGGAAGUGGAGAGGGAUUUUCUUUCUGCUGGCUCUUUGGUAGAGUGCCUGGAAAAAGCCAUUGGAUACCCAUUGAAGUUUAACAACUGAAUCUCGUCCUUCAUAAGGAUUAGGGCUCCUGCCUCCUUUCCAUGUUGCUAGCAGACGCUUACGGAUCCUGUCUGUUCACAGUGGGGCAAGUAUGUAUACAUCGUCCAUGUGGAAAUCACGUAAACGUGCAUGUGGCCCAGAUGCUGAGAAUCUCUUAGGAGUGGGCCUUUCCGCUGCAUCUGACCGACAGAAGAAAAAAAAAAAAACUUACCUUACUGCAGUGCAGGGUUGGUGUUGCAGCUGGCGGAAGAAUCUGCAAAGUGCCAGAUGCCACAGAGAUAUUUCCUCCCGAAUCAAUAGGAGUCUGCCCAUUGAUGCCUAGUACGUUCCCUGAAAUUCUGGAAUUGAUGGGCUGCCGUGUUGAAAAGUGAUGGCAUGACCGACAGACAGGCCACAAGUUGGGCGUAAGGCCUUGCAAGCUUGACCAGCUAAGAGCAGAAGGGGAAAGUGGAGCUAUACAGCCCUGCAAGAGGAAGUCUGACCUUGCCAGAAUAGAGGAGGACAGAGAGGUCCAAGGGGGAGGGGGGAGGGGUCAGUAGCCAAACCGAAGAGACAGUCACAGAACGGCGGAGCCACUGUCAGUGAUCCUGAAUGGUGCCUCCUGCACGGAUGGAGAAGUUGACCUGAGAUCUGGUGCAGAUAAAGAACAGCAUAAAAUGUGGCCUCCUGGGAGCCUGACUAAAUGUGGUGAGAGGGCGGAGCGUACCGGAGACACUUGCAGCAUCCGUCUCUGCAAGGACAAGUGAUAGGCUGAGUGAUCCAUUUCCUUCAGGAGUGAAGUGUCUGCUGUGCCCAGAGACCUUCCCAUUGCACCCAAUUCAUUCAAUGUCCACAGACUUGGAUCUCUGUACGCACCACGUGACUGGUCCACCUUGCAAUGAGCAAUGCACACUGACCACCUGUGUGUGCACCAAGAGGCUGUCACGUCCAGCGACUCCUUCCCAGGCACCAGAACCUACAGUCAGCCUCUCCAUGAGUGUGGAGAGAAGCUACAGCAGCCACCGAGUGACCUAUCAGGGCCCCAGGAUUCACCACUCCAGCCAGUGGCCUCUGCCUGCACCUUCCACGUGUAUCUGGCUUGGCUCGUUUAUACAUCCAGGAUGUGGGUGAGCACCUUUUCCUGCUCCUCCAUCAUGAAAAUGUCUCAAAUUCAGGAACUAGCCAGUGGGAGGAGUCACUCCCAAAAUUCUGAGACCAAGUCAUUGCUCCAUAGAUGGGCAGCUGCUUGGAAAUCGGCUAUUCCAUGUGUCACUCACCAGUGUGGUCUUAUUAAUAUUCUGCAGUUAUUGCACUCCUUUAAAAUGGCUAUAGCCCAUUUAACUCAAAAGAUCCCAAAAUGCCUGACAAGCCACCUGGAGCAGCAGUGAGUAAAACUUUAACACUGGGGGCUAAAAUAGCAACUUGUCAGGAGUCUGAGAGUCACAAUUCUGGAAUAUAUUUACAUAUAUUUGCAUGAUUUUAUGUCUAGUCACAUUACGUCUUGAUGCAUUUAGAAUAAAGGAGCUC